AAUUCUACCAUGAUCAGAACAUUUAUUUUUGAAACAUUGAAGAAUAGUUUUUAUUUUUAUUGAAAUUUCAAGUUUGCAAGGAAAUUUUGUGUUGCUGUGAAUUGUACUGUUUUGCCCGGUCCCCGAUUUAACAGAACUCGAUAAAAGCAAAAAUAGCAUAUAAAAUGCGUUAAAUGUCCCGUGGAAUGGAAAUCUUAGUUGAAACAAUUUCGAUAAGAAUUCGGAUAACUGAAAAUAUAAGGAAGGAACCAUCAACCCAUCAAAAAUAUGUCCUGGAUUCUUUAAUAUUUUGGGGUCUCAAAUCGUUGAUUUUGACACAGUUUCACUGAUUUUAAAGAACAUUGCCGAACCCAAAUUAAAUGAAAUUACUUAUUUCAAAAAAAAAAACAAACAAUCUUAACUGAUUGUUUCUACCUCAAAUUGUUUUAAUAAAAGAUGAUACAUUCGCCUAUUAAAUUUUCCAAUUUUUUUACCGGAGAACACAAUCAUUGGAGCUUAAUUUUGGGCUUAAAUUAUGAAAAGAACUUGAUCAUAAAAGUGGCAUUAUUAUUCCUUUUUUGUAAAACGAGUGAAAAUAUGUUUACCCUUAUCCUAUGUCCAUUUAUUUAAAUAUAUUGUGUGAUUAUGAGUAUA